rnacentral:sRNA from 1 species
AGUUGACGAAUAAAAC